rnacentral:rRNA from 1 species
CCUACGGGUGGCAGCAGUGAGGAAUAUUGGUCAAUGGGCGUAAGCCUGAACCAGCCAAGUCGCGUGAGGGAUGAAGGUUCUAUGGAUCGUAAACCUCUUUUAUAAGGGAAUAAAGUAUGGUACGUGUACUGUCUUGUAUGUACCUUAUGAAUAAGGAUCGGCUAACUCCGUGCCAGCAGCCGCGGUAAUACGGAGGAUCCGAGCGUUAUCCGGAUUUAUUGGGUUUAAAGGGUGCGUAGGCGGACUUUUAAGUCAGCGGUGAAAGUCUGUGGCUCAACCGUAGAAUUGCAGUUGAAACUGGGAGUCUUGAGUAUGUUAGAGGCAGGCGGAAUUCGUGGUGUAGCGGUGAAAUGCUUAGAUAUCACGAAGAACCCCGAUUGCGAAGGCAGCCCACUAAGCCAUGACUGACGCUGAUGCACGAAAGCGUGGGGAUCAAACAGGAUUAGAUACCCUGGUAGUC